UGCCCAAUGCGGGAAUCGAACCCGGGUCGUAGCGGUCCAAAACCAACGGUUUAAACCAUCAUUCCACCGACCCCUGUAUUAGAUGAACUAAACAGGA